AAUCAGUGUGUGUGUUAGUGGAAGCGUCUGGAAAGGCGCGCGAUACAGGGUGACAGCCCCGUACACAAAAAUGCACAUGCUGUGAGCUCGAUGAGUAGGGCGGGACACGUGGUAUCCUGUCUGAAUAUGGGGGGACCAUCCUCCAAGGCUAAAUACUCCUGACUGACCGAUAGUGAACCAGUACCGUGAGGGAAAGGCGAAAAGAACCCCGGCGAGGGGAGUGAAAAAGAACCUGAAACCGUGUACGUACAAGCAGUGGGAGCACGCUUAGGCGUGUGACUGCGUACCUUUUGUAUAAUGGGUCAGCGACUUAUAUUCUGUAGCAAGGUUAACCGAAUAGGGGAGCCGAAGGGAAACCGAGUCUUAACUGGGCGUUAAGUUGCAGGGUAUAGACCCGAAACCCGGUGAUCUAGCCAUGGGCAGGUUGAAGGUUGGGUAACACUAACUGGAGGACCGAACCGACUAAUGUUGAAAAAUUAGCGGAUGACUUGUGGCUGGGGGUGAAAGGCCAAUCAAACCGGGA
rnacentral:rRNA from 1 species